GCGCCUGUAGCUCAGCUGGAUAGAGCGGCAGCCUCCGAAGCUGUAGGUCGCAGGUUCGACUCCUGCCGGGCGCA
rnacentral:tRNA from 1 species